GAUGAAGAACGCAGCGAAAUGCGAUAAGUAAUGUGAAUUGCAGAAUUCAGUGAAUCAUCGAAUCUUUGAACGCAUCUUGCGCUCCUUGGUAUUCCGAGGAGCAUGCCUGUUUGAGUGUCAUUUAACUUCUCAACCACAUUGGAUAUUUUUUUUCCGAUGCCGGCUUGGAUGUGGGGGUUGUUUGCAGGCUGUUUGUAACAAAAAAGGUCGGCUCCCCUGAAAUGUAUUAGUGGUAUCUGAGGCUAUUACUAUUAGGUGUGAUAAUUAUCUAUGCCUUUUGGGUAUGCCGCAUGAACAGAUUAUGCUGCUUCUAACGAAAACUAUUUUGAUGAAUUUGACCUCAAAUCAGGUAGGACUACCCGCUGAACUUAAGCAUAUCAAUAAGCGGAGGA
rnacentral:misc_RNA from 1 species